GCCAUUGAUGACUAUUGGGAUUUCAACAGAAAUGCAAGUCUACAUACUUGCACAAGAUGCUGAAACAAUUUUAUGAACUAGGACGGUCUGAGGC